rnacentral:lncRNA from 1 species
AGGGAUUUGAUUGAAUAAUUAAAAGUUUUUGGACAAUUAAAAGGGAUGUAUCUGAAAAUUUGAUAGUUUGGACCAAAUUGGUAAUAACCUAACAAAUAAAUGACCAAAUGUGAAAAUGUGAGAAAAACUCCAUUGCUGCACGAGCUUAACCGUCCGACACGGAUUCAGAUUCCGAGCAUCACAACCACCAUAGCAUACGGUCUCAGCGCGAGAUGGAUGAGUUGCGGAGUACAACGUGGAGGAGGAAGCUUGGUCAUGUGAUUCAUGGAGAAAGAGAAGACGAAUUGCAAUCGAACUGGGCCGAGGUUCAUCAUGGACUUGGACCAAGAAGCACGGCGAAGAGAAACUGUGAAAGAAAAGAAGAUGAGAUUGUGUUUUUAUUUUAUGAAAUCAGUUGACUUAAAAAAAAUGAUAAAGAAGAUCUGAGAAAAGAGAUGAAAAAUUAGUGGGACCUACAGUUUAUGCUCUAGUUAUACUUUAGUUAGUAAUGAAUGAAAAAACUAAGAAGUGUUAAGAAAAAAUGUUAUAGGAGCAGAAACUGCCUUAUUGUGUUAUAAAUAACUUAAAACUGCAUUUGAGUGUAAAUAACUCUUUAAUUAGUAAUAAGUAAAAAAGAUCCAUAUCUAUUGUAACUUUUAGCCAUGAUAUAAAUAUAAAUAACUUUUACAUUUGCUUUUCGCUUUGUUUUUUUAGUUAGAACUGUUUUCUUAUAACACCUGCAAAGCUAGAAAAGUUUCCAAUAAGAAUAUCAUGAUUUCAAAUGCUCGUAUCUAGGCCUGCUCGUAUCUAUUUUACUCUAGGACUAAUAGUAAUAGAGUUAAUCAUUAUUAACCGGUAUAAUAAGACGUUGCGGAGUACGGUCUCAGCGCGAGAUGGAUGAGUUGCAGAGUACAACGUGGAGGAGGAAACUUGGUCAUGUGAUUCAUGGCGAAAGAGAAGACAAAUUGCAAUCGAACUGGGCUGAGGUUCAUCAUGGACUUGGACCAAGAAGCACGGCGAAGAGAAACUGUGAAAUAAAAGAAGAUGAGAUUGUGUUUUUAUUUUAUGAAAUCAGUUGACUUAAAGAAAACAAAAACUGAUAAAGAAGAUUUAUAUCAUUAUUAACCGGUAUAAUAAGACGUUGCAUAUAACGACACAUUGAACCAAAUGAAAAGAAGAUUUGAUAAGAAAGGACAAUCAAAGAAAAGGCCAAACUUGAUUGAU